CCUACGGGCGGCAGCAGUGAGGAAUAUUGGUCAAUGGGCGCGAGCCUGACCCAGCCAAGUAGCGUGAAUGAUGACUGCCCUCCGGGUUGUAAACUUCUUUUAUAAAGGAGUAAAGUGAGGCACGUGUGCCUUUUUGUAUGUACUUUAUGAAUAAGAAUCGGCUAACUCCGUGCCAGCAGCCGCGGUAAUACGGAGGCUCCGAGCGUUAUCCGGAUUUGUUGGGUUUAAAGGGAGCGUAGAUGGGCUGUUAAGUCAGUUGUGAAAGUCUGGGGCUCAACCGGAGAACUGCACUGGAUACUGGCAGUCUUGAGUACAGUUGAGGGAGGUGGAAUUCGUGGUGUAGCGGUGAAAUGCGUAGAUAUCAGGAAGAACUCCGAUUGCGAAGGCAGCUGACUAAACUGCCACUGACAUUGAGGCUCGAAAGUGUGGGGAGCAAACAGGAUUAGAUACCCGGGUAGUC
rnacentral:rRNA from 1 species